rnacentral:rRNA from 1 species
CAGUCGUACCGGCGGAUAAUCAGCCUUUCGGGUGCGAUUCUGUGGGGCGUGAGGAGCUUAACCGCCUUCAUGUUUUGCAUAUUCGUGCACAUUUGGUGUACUUGUCCGUGUGGUGGGUUAACAUCAAUUUCGGUCGUCAUAAAAUGAUUGGAGGAAUGUAGCUUUGAUCUCGUAUCGAAGUGUUAUAGACUCUGGUAGAUGUGACGGUUGGGAUUGGAGUUCGCAGCACGCCUUUUGGCUGGGGUUUACCCACGUAUUCGUGCUUAGGAUGCUGGCGUAAUGG